UCCCCUCUUCUUUUCCUUCUCAGGUCCAAGCUGCCACAUUGCUUCAUUAACACAAGAGACCACUUCCUUAACAGCUGUAUUAUCUUAAACCCACAUAAACACUUCUCCCUGACCCCUUUUUUGUAAUAUAAGACAAGUCUGAGUAGUUAUGAAUCGCAGACGCAAGAGGUUUCAGCAUUCCCAAUUAUCAAAAAACCGAAAAACAAACAAAAAAAAAAAGAAAGAAAAAAGUGCAACUUGAGGGAUGACUCUCUCUAACAUAUCAUUCAGAAUGUGCAAAGCGGUGUGAGCAGGCUGAGAUCAGCCCAGAGACUGAAUGGCAAUCCUUCCACACUGUGGAACAAUGCAUUUGUGCCUAAACUUCUUUUGGAAAAAAAAAAUAUAAUUAAUUUAGCUCUGAUUCUCUUCUGAGUGAAACCACACCUAUAUUGCAUUUUCCAAGUGUUGGAGGUAUUGACAGCUUACCCAACAAAACACAUACACACACAAAUCACAAAAACAAAUUGAAAAGCACAUGAAUGGCCAAGGAAGAGAUGCCCUUAAUGAAAACGGAAUGGGAUGCAUGUGAAACCAAAAGGAAACUGUCUAGAGGAGUAACUGAUUGAAGGAAUAGAACCAGUGCGCGGGUGACACUGAAGCGGUGCGUUUGAAGAGCUCUGGCCGGCGCCAUGCUGUUGGUUGUGCUGCAGUCCCUAAGCUGAGUCUGCCUCACCUUGGGAUCAGUGGGUCGACUGCUUUGGCAGAACCUUGUUGGCUAGAUCUUUGCAGUCAGAAAUCUAGGUGAUUUAUUUUGUAUCCCUUUGUUAAGAGCUGAAUACUGUUAACCACAGUUACUAUCACACUGUAUUGCUUCCUUCUCAAACUGUCCCCACCCCGCUACUUCUGGUUGACCUCUUGACUCUUCAUCCAGAUGUGUUGUUGUUUUUUUCCAACUUGUACAAACUGACCUGUGUCACCUAUUGUGGGAGGGAAAAAAAAUGUACCGAUUAAAAUUAUUCAGUGUUAUGUACUGUAAGUUAAUAUCUUUGUAGAAUGGACAUCAAUCUACUUUGCAACACUUGGAGGCUGUGUCAACCUUGCGUUGUAGACGUGUACAGUCAAGCCUGCAAUGGAAAGGAAGCCCGGGGUAGAUGAGCACUUGCUGACAACGUCCUGGCCCCGUGCGAGGUGGUUGCCGGACGUCUCCGUGAUCGCUCUUGUGUUCUUUCUAAUGGGGUUCAGUGACGAGUUUACCGGAAGGAGGAUGUUAGCACCAUGUGGUUCACGUGUGAAGUGCCCUCCAUAGCCAAACAUUGGAAUUUUUUUUCUUUUUGGUUGCAAAGUUUGCAGAUAUUUAAAUUUUAGGAACUUUCCAAAGAUUUUGGUUGAUAACCCUCUUUUCUUAUAAAUGAUUUGAGAUGUUCUUAUGUUGCUGUGUAUCUUAAAUAUAAACAAAAGAGCCAUGA